GAGUUUGAUCAUGGCUCAGGAUGAACGCUAGCUACAGGCUUAACACAUGCAAGUCGAGGGGCAGCGGGGAGUAGCAAUACUUCGCCGGCGACCGGCGCACGGGUGAGUAACACGUAUCCAACCUGCCUCAUACUCGGGGAUAGCCUUUCGAAAGAAAGAUUAAUAUCCGAUAGCAUAUAUUUCCCGCAUGGGUUUUAUAUUAAAGAAAUUCGGUAUGAGAUGGGGAUGCGUUCCAUUAGUUGUUGGCGGGGUAACGGCCCACCAAGACUACGAUGGAUAGGGGUUCUGAGAGGAAGGUCCCCCA
rnacentral:rRNA from 1 species